GUUUUUAUUUUCAACUUCACAGCUCCCAACCUGGGGGCUCAGACUUCCCCCACCAUUCUGCAGCUCCAGCAUCCAUCAUCAUCUUUCAGGGUCCUAAUCGUGUGCAGAUUCUCAAGUAGGGGUGAUGUUCAGGGCCUGACCCCAAACAACUCCGCCUUAUGAAGGUACAACCUUUGCCUUCCCUGCUUCUGCCCCUUCUCAAAUCUUGCCGUGUUUCAUCUGGGACAGAAUCUCUGAUUCCCCUCCUUUCCCUCCUCCCUCCCCCUGGAAGAGGGAAAAAAAAAAAAAAACAAAAAAAAACAAAGCACCAACUCCCCAA